rnacentral:rRNA from 1 species
GGUGAUUAUAGCUGGAGGGUCACACCUCUUCCCAUUUCGAACAGAGAAGUUAAGCCUCCAUACGCCGAUGGUACUGCAUGCGCAGGUGUGUGGGAGAGUAGGUAGUCGCCG